CGCUCGUGGCGUCGAGGUGUGUGAUAGCGCGUAAGCGUGCCUCCUAGCGGCCGCAUCUACUGUCGGACUACUGGCUGCGCGCCGUGUCAACGAAACGUCACACGCACUCCGGGAGCGCGUGAUUCUUCUCUGCUGCCAACCUCCUCUUUUACCACCUGUGGGUCCUGUGCCAUGCUAACGCUGUAUACUGAGUAAAGGGGCCAGCAGCUCGGCGCGUCGAGUACGACAGCUCCCGGUCCAGAUGGCUGUUUGGCACACAGGAGGCGGGCCGCUUUGACAGCGCCGUGGCCAGGAUGCGCUGGCUGUGGCUGUUGGCGGCAGCGGUGGCGGCCGCGCCCUCUCCUUCGCCUUCGCCUUCGCCUCCCCCGGAGCUGGAGGCGCAGUCGUGGCGGUGCCCGGCGGUGGGCGGCGGCGUGGC